AUACGUAUGGAGCAAGCGUUAUCCGGAUUUACUGGGUGUAAAGGGAGCGUAGACGGCAAAGCAAGUCUGAAGUGAAAGCCCCGGGCUCAACCCGGGAAUUGCUUUGGAAACUGUUUAGCUAGAGUGCAGGAGAGGUAAGCGGAAUUCCUAGUGUAGCGGUGAAAUGCGUAGAUAUUAGGAGGAACACCGGCGGCGAAGGCGGCUUACUGGACUGUAACUGACGUUGAGGCUCGAAAGCGUGGGGAGCAAACAGGAUUAGAUACCCUGGUAGUCCACGCCGUAAACGAUGAUUACUAGGUGUUGGUUGUCAUAGACAAUCGGUGCCGCAGCAAACGCAAUAAGUAAUCCACCUGGGGAGUACGUUCGCAAGAAUGAAACUCAAAUGAAUUGACGGGG
rnacentral:rRNA from 1 species